CUCCAGUUGGGAGCAGGAUGGCUGCUACCUGGGGCGCUGGCCAGCACUUUCUUUUCGUGGGCCGAACCUCCAUUCGUUCCAGGAUCACCUGGCUCAGGUCGGGUCAAAGUCCCCUCAGGUUUUUCUGAACCACCAGGAAAACGGAGUCUCUAGUUGACCUCCAGACAUCCUUAGUCCUUCUCCCUUCUCUCCACUCUUUCUAGCCUGGAAUCUCGUUUCCCGGUGGACCAUCCUUCACCAAGGUUGUCCUGCCUGCCUAAUGUUUCCUCUUCACUUCCCAAUUAGGACCUAGGGAGAGUUGGAUAUCCAGGUGCAAAGUUUCUUGGUCCCUGCACCAAACAUGGAACCAAAGUCCUCCUGGAGAAACAAAGGCCAUAGAAGAGUUACUCAUAGUUACUCAUAGCACAUAUAUCCUGGAAGAUCUGGAGCCAUCCAAGGAACAAGGAGAGGGGUCAUUUAAGAGAAGAAAAAAGAGGAUCCCAAGGAAUGAGCACAAAGGACUCCAUUGCAGUAUAAAGAUCUGCAAAGGAAAAGGAGCUGCUACAACAGUUAUCUGGAUGAGGUUGGGCAGAGUCCAGUCAAUAGCAGGAAAAUCAGGCUGUAGAAGUGGGAACUGGAUAUGGGUUCUAUUGGGAAUUUAAGAUCCUGCUUGUCAGUGCCAGGAGUGGUGGCGCACGCAUUUAAGCCCAGCACUCGGGAGGCAGAGGCAGGCAGAUUUCUGAGUUUGAGGCCAGCCUGGUCUACAGAGUGAGUUCCAGGACAGCCAAG
rnacentral:lncRNA from 1 species